AGUACCGUGAGGGAAAGGUGAAAAAUACCCUGAAUAAGGGAGUGAAAUAGUUUCUGAAACCAUGCGCCUACAAGCAGUCGAAGUUUUAUUUUAUAAAAUGACGGCGUGCCUUUUGUAUAAUGAGCCUACGAGUUAAUCUUCUUUGGCAAGGUAAAUCUUUUUUAAAAGAAAAGCCGAAGUGAAAGCGAGCCUGAAUAGGGCGCUAGUCAGAG
rnacentral:rRNA from 1 species